ACGGACUUCUGGAGAGACCUUUUUGUCAUCCCAGUAUUGCUGCGAUGACAAAAAAGGCGCCGAAGGGGCAAGGGGGCUUUUAUUCCCACCCAAUCUCUCAGGCAAAAGGACAGAAGAUA
rnacentral:ncRNA from 1 species